UGUUAACUGAUGGACUGGAGUGCUGUGGAUUAUUGUGAUGUUUUUAUCAGCUGUUGGGACUCUCAUUCUGACGGCACCCAUUCACUACAGAGGAUCCACUGGUGAUGCAAUGCUACAUUUCUCCAAAUCUGUCCCAAUGAAGAAACAAACUCAUCUACUUCUUGGAUGGCCGGAGGCCGUCUCAUCACAAGAGAAGCACAGAGCCUGGAGGAGGCCCAGACGCUGAUAAUCAGAGACGCAGCUGUCUCUCUUCAGCCGGAAUUACUGUGGCUUUAGAAGGAACUCAAGGACGAACAGGGAUGGAGUGUCUUUCGGAUUCAUCCUCUGAGACACAGUUGGGUCUUUCUGUAUUAAACCAUAUAUCCAAAGACACAGAUAGAGAGAAGUUUUCCUUUCCUU